rnacentral:rRNA from 1 species
AGUGGGGAAUAUUGGACAAUGGGGGAAACCCUGAUCCAGCCAUGCCGCGUGUGUGAAGAAGGCCUUAUGGUUGUAAAGCACUUUAAGCGAGGAGGAGGCUACUGAGACUAAUACUCUUGGAUAGUGGACGUUACUCGCAGAAUAAGCACCGGCUAACUCUGUGCCAGCAGCCGCGGUAAUACAGAGGGUGCGAGCGUUAAUCGGAUUUACUGGGCGUAAAGCGUGCGUAGGCGGCUUUUUAAGUCGGAUGUGAAAUCCCCGAGCUUAACUUGGGAAUUGCAUUCGAUACUGGGAAGCUAGAGUAUGGGAGAGGAUGGUAGAAUUCCAGGUGUAGCGGUGAAAUGCGUAGAGAUCUGGAGGAAUACCGAUGGCGAAGGCAGCCAUCUGGCCUAAUACUGACGCUGAGGUACGAAAGCAUGGGGAGCAAA